rnacentral:rRNA from 1 species
UGGGGAAUCUUGCACAAUGGGCGAAAGCCUGAUGCAGCGACGCCGCGUGGAGGAUGACGGUCUUCGGAUUGUAAACUCCUGUUAAGUGGGAAGAAAGACUGAUACCUAAUACGUAUCGGGGAUGACGGUACCACUAGAGAAAGCACCGGCAAACUUCGUGCCAGCAGCCGCGGUAAUACGAAGGGUGCAAGCGUUAUUCGGAAUCACUGGGCGUAAAGAGCGUGAAGGCGGUUUCUUAAGUCAUCUGUUAAAGAGCUCGGCUUAACUGAGUAAAUGCGGGUGAUACUGGGAGGCUAGAGUGCGGGAGAGAAAGGUAGAAUUCUCGGAGUAGCGGUAAAAUGCGUAGAUCUCGAGAGGAAUACCGGUUGCGAAGGCGGCCUUUUGGCCCGCUACUGACGCUAAAGCGCGAAAGCGUGGGGAGCAAACAGG